AUACGGAGGAUCCGAGCGUUAUCCGGAUUUAUUGGGUUUAAAGGGUGCGCAGGCGGGAGAUUAAGUCGGCGGUGAAAUUUUGCAGCUCAACUGUAAAAGUGCCUUCGAAACUGGUUUUCUUGAGUGUAGAUGAAGUAGGAGGUAUUUGUGGUGUAGCGGUGGAAUGCAUAUAUAUCAAGAGGAACUCCGAUUGCGCAGGCAGCUUACUAAACUACUACUGACGCUCAGGCACGAAGGCGUGGGGAUCAAACAGGAUUAGAUACCCUGGUAGUCCACGCAGUAAACGAUGAUUACUAGCUGUUUGCGAUACAAUGUAAGCGGCUGAGCGAAAGCGUUAAGUAAUCCACCUGGGGAGUACGUUCGCAAGAAUGAAACUCAAAGGAAUUGACGGGG
rnacentral:rRNA from 1 species